UGUGAACUCGAAGAGUAGGGCGGGACACGUGGUAUCCUGUCUGAAUAUGGGGGGACCAUCCUCCAAGGCUAAAUACUCCUGACUGACCGAUAGUGAACCAGUACCGUGAGGGAAAGGCGAAAAGAACCCCGGCGAGGGGAGUGAAAAAGAACCUGAAACCGUGUACGUACAAGCAGUGGGAGCACCUUCGGGUGUGACUGCGUACCUUUUGUAUAAUGGGUCAGCGACUUAUAUUCUGUAGCAAGGUUAACCGUAUAGGGGAGCCGCAGGGAAACCGAGUCUUAACUGGGCGUUAAGUUGCAGGGUAUAGACCCGAAACCCGGUGAUCUAGCCAUGGGCAGGUUGAAGGUUGGGUAACACUAACUGGAGGACCGAACCGACUAAUGUUGAAAAAUUAGCGGAUGACUUGUGGCUGGGGGUGAAAGGCCAAUCAAACCGGGAGAUAGCUGGUUCUCCCCGAAAGCUAUUUAGGUAGCGCCUCGUGAACUCAUCUUCGGGGGUAGAGCACUGUUUCGGCUAGGGGGUCAUCCCGACUUACCAACCCGAUGCAAACUACGAAUACCGAAGAAUGUUAUCACGGGAGACACACGGCGGGUGCUAACGUCCGUCGUGAAGAGGGAAACAACCCAGACCGCCAGCUAAGGUCCCAAAGUCAUGGUUAAGUGGGAAACGAUGUGGGAAGGCACAGACAGCCAGGAUGUUGGCUUAGAAGCAGCCAUCAUUUAAAGAAAGCGUAAUAGCUCACUGGUCGAGUCGGCCUGCGCGGAAGAUGUAACGGGGCUAAACCAUGCACCGAAGCUGCGGCAGCGACACUAUGUGUUGUUGGGUAGGGGAGCGUUCUGUAAGCCUGCGAAGGUGUGCUGUGAGGCAUGCUGGAGGUAUCAGAAGUGCGAAUGCUGACAUAAGUAACGAUAAAGCGGGUGAAAAGCCCGCUCGCCGGAAGACCAAGGGUUCCUGUCCAACGUUAAUCGGGGCAGGGUGAGUCGACCCCUAAGGCGAGGCCGAAAGGCGUAGUCGAUGGGAAACAGGUUAAUAUUCCUGUACUUGGUGUUACUGCGAAGGGGGGACGGAGAAGGCUAUGUUAGCCGGGCGACGGUUGUCCCGGUUUAAGCAUGUAGGCUGAUUGUCCAGGCAAAUCCGGAUAAUCAAGGCUGAGGUGUGAUGACGAGGCACUACGGUGCUGAAGUAACAAAUGCCCUGCUUCCAGGAAAAGCCUCUAAGCAUCAGGUAACAUCAAAUCGUACCCCAAACCGACACAGGUGGUCAGGUAGAGAAUACCAAGGCGCUUGAGAGAACUCGGGUGAAGGAACUAGGCAAAAUGGUGCCGUAACUUCGGGAGAAGGCACGCUGGUGUGUAGGUGA
rnacentral:rRNA from 1 species